AGUGAACGCUGGCGGCAGGCCUAACACAUGCAAGUCGAACGGCAGCACAGGAGAGCUUGCUCUCUGGGUGGCGAGUGGCGGACGGGUGAGGAAUACAUCGGAAUCUGCCUAUUUGUGGGGGAUAACGUAGGGAAACUUACGCUAAUACCGCAUACGACCUACGGGUGAAAGUGGGGGACCGCAAGGCCUCACGCAGAUAGAUGAGCCGAUGUCGGAUUAGCUAGUUGGCGGGGUAAUGGCCCACCAAGGCGAUGAUCCGUAGCUGGUCUGAGAGGAUGAUCAGCCACACUGGAACUGAGACACGGUCCAGACUCCUACGGGAGGCAGCAGUGGGGAAUAUUGGACAAUGGGCGCAAGCCUGAUCCAGCCAUGCCGCGUGGGUGAAGAAGGCCUUCGGGUUGUAAAGCCCUUUUGUCCGGAAAGAAAAGCAUUCGGUUAAUAACCGGGUGUCAUGACGGUACCGGAAGAAUAAGCACCGGCUAACUUCGUGCCAGCCGCCGCAGUAAAAC
rnacentral:rRNA from 1 species